CCUUUGACCUUCUGCGUUUUCUCGGUCCCAAGAAUAUCGCGACAACAAAACAGGCCUUCCCUCGACUGUAGCUGCGACAGCGCCCUCAAGUGUAGGGAGGCUCGUCCGUGGGAAUCUGCGCUCCAGUGGCGCGGACUCUGGCAGCCUGAGGGGUUUCACAAAAUACAUCCUGGCUAGAGAUCCGCUAGCUCCAAGCGCAGCCUCUGGAAGCUGGCCCGGUACAGGCGUGGUACUCAGCCAGUGAACACUGAGCUUACUGACUUGAGAAAGCUGAGAUGGCCUGCUGGAGAAUGAGAGCUCAUUUGAAGCAGAAUAAGUAGACAGAGCUGAGGUCUCUCCAGAACAACCAGCCUACCAACCAUCAGGAGUCACAUCUGUGUCAGGAUUCACCCAUGCCUGCUGAUCGACGGGGACACUAAGACUCUUCACCUGAAAGACUGCCAGUUGUGAUCUAAAGACAAUGAACUACUACUCAUCACUCCUGAAUUGCUUGGUCCUUGUAGUCUUUAUUGUGAUGCUAGAUAAACUGAAGUGUCACUCUAUAAUUUAAAUCUCUUUCUGGGAUCAGCACAGGUCACAAUGCCCCUGUUCCCUUGAGUUCAAUAGCAAGUAUUUAUACCAUUAAUUCUGAACCGUAAUCAUGCUUAGUUACAUGUGAUUAAACUGUUUCAUAUAUGUAUGCCAUAAUUAAUGUGAAUUCAUUUAUCUCUCAGACAUUUUUCAUCACUUUAUAAGCCAAAUACUCAGAUAUAUCUAUUUACCACAAUAACAAUAACACCUCGGUUAUGGCUUCAUGGCUUGUGGGGGUUGGGGUGGGGUGAGGAAGUUCUUUACCAUACAGAACAAAAACAUUAACUGAUAUCUCUUUACUGAUAUCAUUCAAUAAUUAUAAUUUAUAACAAUUUAUAGGCAUUUUAGGGAAAACUAAGGAAAUCCCAACAAAAGCAAAAAUCUUACUGAGUGUAAAUAAUUGACUGACAUUUAAUCCACCUCAGAUGACUACUCUAAAACAACCAUGAUUAUUCUAUUCCCUUACCAGUAAUUGGUUCAAAAUUCGGCAUGUGACCAAUUGUGCCAGGGUUCUUAGAAACACUCCCCCAGUCCUAAGAGUGGUCUUCUUUCUCUGGAUGUUGACAUGCCUGGGUUAUGAUGCCAAGGCUUUCUGCUGUAAUCUCUCUAUUGCCUGAGGAUGAAACUGUUACCUGAAGGAUGAAGCUCUGUCUGAAGGAUGACAGAGUAAAGGGAUCCUUCAUGACAUGGUUAUGCAACUGCA